GCACGGAUUGGGUCUCCGGGUUCACCGUCACAAUACGCUUCUUCCCAUAAGUUUACACUUUCAGUUUCGAAAAAACCCAUAUUCGAGGUGGUAUUAAUUUUUUGCUUAGGUAAUUUUCGGUUUCCCGUGAAUUUACGUCCUAAUUGUUGAGCCUACAAACGAAGCAGCCCAUAUGUUCUUUGCCGCUGCAUGCCUUCCAGCCCAUCGUUUGUUUGUUCUUUGCGCUCAAGUUUUGUACAUUGCCGGCCUGCAUCUCUUUUUCUCAAAAAAAAAAGACCUAGCUCGAUUUCUUCCAUAACAUGUACUCCGUAGCUGUGUUGAGAAUCUUUCUUCCAUCAAAUAAUUUACCUUUUGUGCCAGAUACGACACACAGCAGGCCUUAGCUGCGCCAGAUCACCUCCCGUGCCUCGGCCACAGGCCUGCCGCCAGGAGUCCCAUAUGCAGCCGUAGUUGGCCGACGAACGCAACGCACCAUCACGAACGCGACGCACCAUCUCAACUCCAAUCAACGCCCGCCAGAUCUGGCGAGCAACCGAGCCGUCCCUUCAGCCAUCCACCGGAGAGCUCCACCACCACGGCACAGGGUUGUUGCCCCAACCGCAGCAGCCCCGUCGCCACCACCGCCGUCGCAGGCCUAGCCGAGGCAGGUGGGCCGCGGGACGAGGCGUUGGACGCCUCCUCGGGGUCAACACGAACAGACGAAGCGGCGCGGGAUCUAGGCCGGACCAGGGGGCAUUCGCAGGUCGCGGAGGCCGUGGACGUACGAAUCGGGCCAGAUUCGAGGCUGCUGGCACAGGGAUCUUAUGGUUCCUCACCGACAGUGGGUUGCUACCCUGGGCCAGCCACCACCACGGCUGCACGCACUCCAGGAGAGUGGGGAGGCGAGGCCAAGUUGUUCGUGGGCGCGCUGGAUAGGGGUGGAUGAAGAAGAGGAGGAAUGGUGAUGUGUGUUGUGUAUGGAUGGAUAAGAGGCACGCAGUGUGGGCGUCAGUGGAUGUUGUUGGUUGCUGCACCGAGCGGAAC
rnacentral:rRNA from 1 species